CUUUGGCAACAGCCAUGGAGUUGCGGCAUACCCUGCAACGACGGUGUGGCCUCCGAGCGCAGCAAAAGCAUGUGGCCUGAGGAGCUGGGCAUUCUCUGGAGAACGCCGUCUAAGAGACAACGGCCCAGUGACAGCAGGAACUUCCCAGCUAGGGAGGCUGCCUUCCUUCACACCAGACAUGGAUUGGCAUCCCCAGAUGUCUGAGAUAAGUAGAGGGCUGUGACCCAGAGAGGGGAUGAAAGUGGGGUGCUGGUUCGGGACUCACCGGGAGGAGUUUUUGAGUCCGCUUUGGAGACGGGGAUGUGGAAGAAGCGGCCCCUUAGGCCACUGAAUGGGAAAGUGUCACUUUUGAUCACAGUGCUGAGGUGCGCAGGGCAGAGCAGUCCCGGUGUGUCUCGUGUCACUUGUCUGUUGUGCAUUCUGUGUGUUUGGGUAUCUCAUGCCUUUUU